rnacentral:rRNA from 1 species
CUCAGGAUGAACGCUAGCUACAGGCUUAACACAUGCAAGUCGAGGGGCAGCAUUGGAGUAGCAAUACUCAGAUGGCGACCGGCGCACGGGUGAGUAACACGUAUCCAACCUGCCGCUUACUCGGGGAUAGCCUUUCGAAAGAAAGAUUAAUACCCGAUGGUAUAAAGAGUUCGCAUGUUCUCUUUAUUAAAGAAUUUCGGUAAGCGAUGGGGAUGCGUUCCAUUAGAUAGUUGGCGGGGUAACGGCCCACCAAGUCUACGAUGGAUAGGGGUUCUGAGAGGAAGGUCCCCCACAUUGGAACUGAGACACGGUCCAAACUCCUACGGGAGGCAGCAGUGAGGAAUAUUGGUCAAUGGACGAGAGUCUGAACCAGCCAAAAGUAGCGUGAAGGAUGACUGCCCUAUGGGUUGUAAACUUCUUUUAUAAGGGAAUAAAGUGAGGGACGUGUCCCUUUUUGUAUGUACCUUAUGAAUAAGGAUCGGCUAACUCCGUGCCAGCCGCGGC